GACGAACGCUGGCGGCGUGCUUAACACAUGCAAGUCGAACGGAAAGGCCCUGCUUUUGUGGGGUGCUCGAGUGGCGAACGGGUGAGUAACACGUGAGUAACCUGCCCUUGACUUUGGGAUAACUUCAGGAAACUGGGGCUAAUACCGGAUAGGAGCUCCUGCUGCAUGGUGGGGGUUGGAAAGUUUCGGCGGUUGGGGAUGGACUCGCGGCUUAUCAGCUUGUUGGUGGGGUAGUGGCUUACCAAGGCUUUGACGGGUAGCCGGCCUGAGAGGGUGACCGGCCACAUUGGGACGGAGAUACGGCCCAGACUCCUACGGGAGGCAGCAGUGGGGAAUAUUGCACAAUGGGCGGAAGCCUGAUGCAGCAACGCCGCGUGCGGGAUGACGGCCUUCGGGUUGUAAACCGCUUUCGCCUGUGACGAAGCGUGAGUGACGGUAAUGGGUAAAGAAGCACCGGCUAACUACGU
rnacentral:rRNA from 1 species